AACGCUAGCUACAGGCUUAACACAUGCAAGUCGAGGGGAAACGACAUCGAAAGCUUGCUUUUGAUGGGUGUCGACCGGCGCACGGGUGAGUAACGCGUAUCCAACCUGCCCACCACUUGGGGAUAACCUUGCGAAAGUAAGACUAAUACCCAAUGAUAUCCCACGAAGGCAUCCGAAUGGGAUUAAAGAUUUAUCGGUGAUGGAUGGGGAUGCGUCUGAUUAGCUUGUUGGCGGGGUAACGGCCCACCAAGGCAACGAUCAGUAGGGGUUCUGAGAGGAAGGUCCCCCACAUUGGAACUGAGACACGGUCCAAACUCCUACGGGAGGCAGCAGUGAGGAAUAUUGGUCAAUGGGCGAGAGCCUGAACCAGCCAAGUAGCGUGCAGGAUGACGGCCCUAUGGGUUGUAAACUGCUUUUAUAAGGGAAUAAAGUGAGUCUCGUGAGACUUUUUGCGUGUACCUUAUGAAUAAGGACCGGCUAAUUCCGUGCCAGCAGCCGCGGUAAUACGGAAGGUCCGGGCGUUAUCCGGAUUUAUUGGGUUUAAAGGGAGCGUAGGCCGGAGAUUAAGCGUGUUGUGAAAUGUAGUGGCUCAACCUCUGCACUGCAGCGCGAACUGGUCUUCUUGAGUACGCACAACGUGGGCGGAAUUCGUGGUGUAGCGGUGAAAUGCUUAGAUAUCACGAAGAACUCCGAUUG
rnacentral:rRNA from 1 species